GCNNNNAUGACGUGNUAUCGGGUGAUUAUGGUUCGAUUCCGGAGAGGGAGCCUGAGAAACGGCUACCACAUCCAAGGAAGGCAGCAGGCGCGCAAAUUACCCAAUCCCGACACGGGGAGGUAGUGACAAUAAAUAACAAUACAGGGCUCUUUCGGGUCUUGUAAUUGGAAUGAGUACAAUUUAAAUCCCUUAACGAGGAACAAUUGGAGGGCAAGUCUGGUGCCAGCAGCCGCGGUAAUUCCAGCUCCAAUAGCGUAUAUUAAAGUUGUUGCAGUUAAAAAGCUCGUAGUUGAAUUUCGGGGUUCCACCGUUGGUCGGGCUAUUGUCUGUACUGGCGUGUGGAAUUUCUACCUUCUGGGGAACUAUCAUGUUAUUAAUUUAGCGUGGUAGGAAACCAGGACCUUUACCUUGAAAAAAUUAGAGUGUUCAAAGCAGGCUUAUGUCUGAAUACAUUAGCAUGGAAUAAUAAAAUAGGACGGUGGUCCUGUUUUGUUGGUUUCUGAAUCACCGUAAUGAUUAAUAGGGAUAGUUGGGGGCAUUAGUAUUCAAUUGUCAGAGGUGAAAUUCUUGGAUUUAUUGAAGACUAACUACUGCGAAAGCAUUUGCCAAGGAUGUUUUCAUUAAUCAAGAACGAAAGUUAGGGGAUCGAAGACGAUCAGAUACCGUCGUAGUCUUAACCAUAAACUAUGCCGACUAGGGAUCGGACGAUGUUAACUUUUCUUGACUCGUUCGGCGCCUUACGGGAAACCAAAUUUUUGGGGNUCACA
rnacentral:rRNA from 1 species